rnacentral:rRNA from 1 species
GAUGAACGCUGGCGGCGUGCUUAACACAUGCAAGUCGAACGGUGAAGGCGGAGCUUGCUCUGCUGGAUCAGUGGCGAACGGGUGAGUAACACGUGAGCAAUCUGCCCCUGACUCUGGGAUAAGCGCUGGAAACGGCGUCUAAUACUGGAUACGAGCUGCGAAGGCAUCUUCAGCAGCUGGAAAGAAUUUCGGUCAGGGAUGAGCUCGCGGCCUAUCAGCUUGUUGGUGAGGUAAUGGCUCACCAAGGCGUCGACGGGUAGCCGGCCUGAGAGGGUGACCGGCCACAAUGGGACUGAGACACGGCCCAGACUCCUACGGGAGGCAGCAGUGGGGAAUAUUGCACAAUGGGCGAAAGCCUGAUGCAGCAACGCCGCGUGAGGGACGACGGCCUUCGGGUUGUAAACCUCUGUUAGCAGGGAAGAAGCGAAAGUGACGUUACCUGCAGAAAAAGCGCCGGCUAACUACGUG